rnacentral:lncRNA from 1 species
CAAAAGCAUUCAUUUAAAUACAGGAGGGCAGAGUGGGAGCAAUUUAGUAUAAAAAAAAGUCCUGGAAGAAGAAUGCCUCUACUUCCAGUGAAGCUAGCAAGUCUGUUUUCUGCAGUUUAUUUAGCUGAGUGGUUAAGAUAGAGAACAUGGAGAACGAAGGCUUGAACAGUAGUCUCAUGCUGUAAACAUCUGAGUGGUAGCUGCUGGCUUUUCUUUCUGAACAGAAUGCACGGCACAUACAAUCACUUUACUUCUCAUCCCAAAUAUGCAUCAUCAAAUGGACAAAGAUCCCUAAUUCUAAGACGUUGAUUGUUGUGAUUUUUUGUUUUGUUUUACAGCGUCUUCAGUGUCUAUUAAUACCUUCCAGUGCAUUAAAAGUUUACUCCAGUAGGAUAGCUUGUCACACCAUUUCCAUCAAUAGUCUCUAAUAGGAGCAAGUUCUGGCAUAAGAUUAACAGUUACAUUUUUAUACAAUCUACUGACAAGUAUUUUAGGAGUAUAUACUAAAUUGUUCAACCCAUCAAUAUACUGACGUUCUCUGGAAUACCUCAGAAGUUUAUAUCUUCCUAAAAACUGGACUUCACCUCUGUGAUGAUGAGGAAUGGAUUUGUAUUUCCCUAAGUCUCCCUCUGGUCUUGUUACGUUGUAUCCAGCAUAGUGAACCCUGUUCCAAAGAUCAUCAUCUUCUCCACCCCAACCCCAGAAGGCAUUUGGAAAUCCAUUAAUCUUCUUGAAUUGUUCCACUGUCAGUCCACUUACACCACCAAAGAACUCAUUGUAUGGAAGAAUGUACAUGUAUUUGUCCAACUUUGCUGCAAAAUGACGUGGCAUUUCUCCACAUCCGUAAUAAUUUCGGUCAUUUUCAGGUAAGUGAUCCACAUCAUGAAAUAUUAUGCAGUCCCAGACAACAUCCUUCAUGGCCUCCUUGAAGCCAAC